GUUCAUGUAGCUUAACACACUAAAGCAAAGCACUGAAAAUGCUCAGAUGGAUU
rnacentral:tRNA from 1 species